rnacentral:rRNA from 1 species
CCAGACUCCUACGGGAGGCAGCAGUGGGGGAUAUUGCACAAUGGGGGGAACCCUGAUGCAGCGACGCCGCGUGGGUGAAGGAGUGCUUCGGCAUGUAAAGCCCUAUCGGCAGGGAAGAAGGAGGACGGUACCUGACUAAGAAGCCCCGGCUAACUACGUGCCAGCAGCCGCGGUAAUACGUAGGGGGCAAGCGUUAUCCGGAAUUACUGGGUGUAAAGGGAGCGCAGACGGCAGUGCAAGUCUGGAGUGAAAGCCCGUGGCUUAACCACGGGACUGCUCUGGAAACUGUGCAGCUAGAGUGCAGGAGAGGCAGGCGGAAUUCCUAGUGUAGCGGUGAAAUGCGUAGAUAUUAGGAGGAACACCAGUGGCGAAGGCGGCUUGCUGGACAGAGACUGACGUUGAAGCUCGAAAGCGUGGGGAGCAAACAGGAUUAGAUACCCUAGUAC